UACGUAGGGUGCGAGCGUUGUCCGGAAUUAUUGGGCGUAAAGAGCUCGUAGGCGGUUUGUCGCGUCGGCCGUGAAAACUUGGGGCUUAACUCCAAGCUUGCGGUCGAUACGGGCAGACUUGAGUUCGGCAGGGGAGACUGGAAUUCCUGGUGUAGCGGUGAAAUGCGCAGAUAUCAGGAGGAACACCGGUGGUGAAGGCGGGUCUCUGGGCCGAUACUGACGCUGAGGAGCGAAAGCGUGGGGAGCGAACAGG
rnacentral:rRNA from 1 species